rnacentral:lncRNA from 1 species
AUUUACUUGCUCAGCAAAGUCAGGGAUUUCUGGGGAAACAAAAAAAAAAAAACAGCUACUUUUUAGAAAACAACAGCUCAAAUUCUCCACAUACUGUAGUUUUCAUUCUUUGAAGUGUACGCACUUGCAGAAUGUUUUGUACUUAUUAGAUCCCGGUAUCUCACAUGGCAAUAGCUAAUGUACUUUCACAGGGAAAACAUUCACUAAACAGGACUUUUUCCACACAAAAACUUCCACAGGCAGUUGCUGUUCUCCAGGGGAAUACCUGUACUAGUAUCCUGUACAGCAGGCAAUGGCGCUUCUACUGGUACAACAAGAACCUGCAGAAGUGAAAGACUCGUGUACUAGAAUAGUCCAAUGUGAAGGAGCCUUCCUGAGCAGAAGGGAGUCUUGCACUCAGCCCCUUCUCACCAAAAGCUUGGUUUUUGCAGAACUAAAGCUUUAUGAAGCUGCAGCACAUUCAGGAGCAAGGCAAGUAAACUGCAGGCACUUAGAAAAUAAUGCAAGACUUUUUAAAGGUCCAGAAGUAAUUUUUAUGUAUUGUGGCAGUGUAUUAGUGUAAACCCUGACCUGUGGCCUUUCAGUUUGCCCUUUGAUUGUGUUCUGUUUUUGACUCUAUAUUGCUUAAAGCCACAUACAAAGGUAGAAAAACUAAAAGAAUCACAACAUUAUUUAAUCUUGAGUUUCAACAUUAUUUAAUCUUGAGUUUGUUUUUAGGUAGACUAUGGUAUUCUACUGUAAUUUGAC